UGGAAAAAGACAUGGCAUGCAAGAACCACAGGAAUGAGAGCUCCACCGUAUGCAGAGGUGACGAACUUGCGGUAAACAUCCCAUUUAACUCUUCCAGAUUCACGUUCUUCCUCACAUUCCCUCCCUACGACAUGCCAUUUGCUUCAAGAGCUCUCCAUCUUUGUCUGCUAUCAGAUCAUCAUAUCUUCCAGAUUGAACAAUCCUUCCACCUUUCAUAACCUGAAAGAUGGAUAAGAUAAACAAUGCAAAAGGCUUCAGAAAGAAUUUGAAGUUGGCGAAAAGAAUCGUGCAGUACGAUUUUCUCGUUUAAGAAAAGAAGAAGAAGAAGAAGAAAAGGCAAUGCUGCUGACUCAUAUAUGUCCAGAUGCCGCCCGCGGCGCGAACAGGAAGUAGACACGGGACAACGCCGAGGAUGGUGGUGGGAUGUGCAACUUGGGCAAUCCAAGUUGGAGUUGCCCUUGCCAAUCUGGCCACGGCGCCGGCGGCCGGGCCGAUCGCCUAACCCCCGGCGUACUGGUUGUCCAGACACGUAUGCACUAUGCAUGUGACACUUACUUGCGUUCGUCCGUGCGUCCGUCCAAACCGGGGCGCCGGUGUUGUCCUCGCCGGGAAGAAGAAGAAGAAGUCUUGAUCUCGCGUUCUGGAAAAAUAACUACCACGUACUACUACCGUAGUAAUAUCCUGAUUUUCUGGAUACCGUGUAAUGCGUAUAUAUGAUCCGCCGCCUUCCGUU